AGGAGAACCCCUUUCCUCCAAGCCACUUUUCGUCAGCAAGAGUGGUCUUGAACUUAUCUUUAAGUGACAGAGAUGAGAGGUGAAGCCCCAGCCGCUGCUGCCGUGUACUGCUGUUCGAUGCCAGUGUUUACAGCGCUGGGCAGCAGGCACAGAUGUUGUGGCAGCUAGACUGUGCCCGGGACAGCGCGAAGCCAGCUCCUGACUUUGCAUGGACAAACGAGUGCAGAUCUCAAAGCUGGCCCGACUUACAAAGCAGUAGGCUGGCGCUGGCGUUUGCAGUCAGUCAGGAGUGUAAAUUCUCAAGGCUGCCUAUCCUUUUUCUUCAGAGGUUUGUUUUUUUUUUUUUUUUCACCUCUGAUCUUUUCUCUUUGUUCACACUAAUUAUGACCCACGAACUUAAAGAAAAACAACAAACCCAAACCAAACACAACGCGCCACCCUCCCGGCGCGGGGGCGGCGGACAGCGUGCGGCAGUCCCUCCCCCUCCGCGGCCAUCGCUUCCCUCCCGCGGCCCCGGGCGCUCGGCAGGGCAGGGGCCGGACCCUCUCUGCCUGCCGGGGCGCGGACGGGGCUCCCCCCGCUCCUGCCACUACCCCAGCCUCCCUCGGCUCCCCACCGCCCCGCACACGCCCCGCCUCCCAGCGCGGCUCUCCCUGCCCGCCCCGCCGGUAGCAGGGCAGGGGCGGGGGCGGGGGCGGUGGAGCGGCGGCUCCUCCCCGGGGCGGAGGGACGCGUUCGCCGCCGCCUCCCGCCUGCCGCCGCCGUGGGGACUCGGUGCCGGGCGGCUGCUGGCGGCGUCUCCUGUCCCGUCUCGUCCGGUCCGGUCCCGGGGAUGUCCGGCGGGGGCAGCCGGCGGCGGGCCGGCCCCUCCUGGCACAGCACUUUCUCUCGCUUCUUCUCCAGGAGCUCACCCGGCGAGGGGGCGGCGAACAGGGAGGCAAAGAACAGCCAAGACUUUCUGUCUGAUGCUCUCCCUGAAAAAGCAUCCAUGUGUUUAUGAAUGCAU
rnacentral:lncRNA from 1 species